ACGCGCGGAACCUUACCAGGUCUUGACAUCCCUCUGACCGGUAUAGAGAUAUACCUUUCCUUCGGGACAGAGGAGACAGGUGGUGCAUGGUUGUCGUCAGCUCGUGUCGUGAGAUGUUGGGUUAAGUCCCGCAACGAGCGCAACCCUUGAUCUUAGUUGCCAGCAUUUAGUUGGGCACUCUAAGGUGACUGCCGGUGACAAACCGGAGGAAGGUGGGGAUGACGUCAAAUCAUCAUGCCCCUUAUGACCUGGGCUACACACGUGCUACAAUGGAUGGUACAAAGGGCUGCAAAGCGGUGACGCCUAGCAAAUCCCAUAAAACCAUUCUCAGUUCGGAUUGUAGGCUGCAACUCGCCUACAUGAAGCUGGAAUCGCUAGUAAUCGCGGAUCAGCAUGCCGCGGUGAAUACGUUCCCGGGCCUUGCACACACCGCCCGU
rnacentral:rRNA from 1 species